GCACUGCAUUAUGAAAACAUCAACAACAAAAAAGAAGGCAACAAAAAGUAUGACCUCUUCAUCCCACGGUACCAUGAAGUAACAGAAUUACAGGAAGAAAAGGAGGCUGAUCCUUAGUGGGACUUGUCCUGUGUUCCCUGUACAUGGUCACUGAGAAACAGACUGAAGUUCAGGAUAUUGUAGGGUUUUCUGGGAUCUGGGCAAUAUGAAAUGAAAAGUCAGUUUCAGAAGAGGGAAAACAGUCC